AUACGUAGGUGGCGAGCGUUAUCCGGAUUUAUUGGGUUUAAAGGGUGCGUAGGCGGUUUGCUAAGCGGGAGGUGAAAUGCCGGCGCUCAACGUCGGAAGUGCCUCCCGAACUGGUGGACUGGAAUGACUCUGCCGUGGGAGGAAUGUGUAGUGUAGCGGUGAAAUGCUUAGAGAUUACACAGAACACCGAUUGCGAAGGCAUCUCACGAAGGGUUGAUUGACGCUGAGGCACGAAAGCGUGGGGAUCAAACAGGAUUAGAUACCCUGGUAGUCCACGCAGUAAACGAUGAUGGCUAACCGCUGGUUUAUUCGGAUCAGUGGCCAAGCGAAAGCGAUAAGCCAUCCACCUGGGGAGUACGACCGCAAGGUUGAAACUCAAAGGAAUUGACGGGG
rnacentral:rRNA from 1 species